UAUUAUAUAAAGCACCUGAUAUCGUAUAAUAUUUUAUUUGUCGUACGACAAAUUUUUAAGCGUAUCGAUUGAUGGUAGGAUAGGAAAGUUCCCAAGUCUUUAGAAAGUUUUCAUUUCGUAGUCAAUCAAUAUGUUUAAUAAGUUUGUCGUACUUUUAUGUAGUGUCACCUUAAUAUCGUAAUAGGGCAAUAUAUCAUCAAGUAAGCCCUGCGCUCUGUUAAAAAUAGAGGAAUUAGUUCUCUCAACUUUGGAAAGAUUGGUAUUUUCGGUGUCAUUCAUAGAGAUAUAAGAACUCUAUUCUUAUAUCUAUAACUCUAUUCUUAUAUCUCUAUGGUGUCAUAGGAUGAGAAGUGUUUUUCUCCAACUUAUAUUGGCCAAAAGAGAGAAGGCGUCUUACAAUAUUGGACCAAUAUUAGGAAUACUAGAUUUACAGUAUUUCCCAAUAUUGCGCCAAUAUGUAUAACACUGUAUCUCUGUAAACUGUGCAGCGCCGUGAGCAAAAGAAGAAAGAACUAAAGAGUAACAAAGCUAGAGAGCUUAAGAACUUAUAGAAUGAAAAUUUUCUUAUAGGUGCUGUAUAUCAAUUCACAAACACACACGCAUUGUGUUUUAGUCAAACUAUACGCAAGACACUCUGUACUAUCUGAAGCGUAAAGGUAUAUGUUAAGCUUCACACCAGAGUAACACUUUAUUCUAUUGCACAUGCGCUUACAAAGAGAGGUGAAACACCAAAAAAUGUGCUUUAUAUACUAAAUAUUAUGACACACACAAUUUAUUUUUUAUUAUCCAUUAUUCUUAAUGGGAUAUAAUGUUACAACGUUAGAGGUAUAGAAGUGGCUAUAGUUCUUUUUCGACGAGUCACGCAUUUUCUUCUGUUAUUAUCUUAUCUCCCUUUUUACCUGUGGAUUUGUACAUGUGGAUGUAAGCAUUAUAAAAAAUUUCUAAUUUUUAACUUAAUUCCAUAUAAUAUACAGGUGUUACAUAAAUAUUGAAGAAGGGAAAAAUAAGUACCACAAUGGUAUGGAAGAAAAAUUUUUCUAUAGACGACUCGCGCUCAGUAUUAUUUCAGCUGUCGUUUGAAAUGGAAUAUCCUGAAGAUCAGUAUUACAGACUGAAUCGUGUUUAUUUAUCAGCAAUUGGUCUUUGGCCAUAUAAUAACUUCAAAAUCAGAUGUAUCCGUUUCAUUACACUGUUAAUUCUUGUAUCAAUGCCUGGUGUCCAGUGGACAAAAUUAUAUGUCUCAGAAUGUACUUAUGAUCUUGUUAUAAAGAUAUUAUCUUAUAAUAUUGGUCUCAUAACAUGUUGUAUAAAGUACAUCUCAUUUUGUGCUGUUAUGAAAAAGUAGGUUAAAGAAUUCCAGGGACGCAUUCGAAGUAAUUGGCUUGCUUUGAAAGAUAAUAAAGAAAUCGAGAUUAUAAAUAAGCAUGGAAUCUAUGGAAAAUUAAUAACAAUAUCUAUAAUCAUAUUCGCAUACAGCUCAAUUACAACCUUCAUUCUUCUUCAAUAUACCUCAAUCUUCUUGGAUAUUAUAAUACCUUUAAAUAUAUCUCGUCCGCUCAAACCAAUAAUACCCGUGGAAUAUUUGGUUGACCAUGAAAAAUAUUUUUAUAUCAUAACAAUACAUAUAAGUAUUGGAUGUGUUUUUAUGAUGUCUUGUUUUGUAGCUACUGAAUCAUUUACACUAGUAAACUCAAUACAUGCUUUCGGGUUAUUUAAAGUUGCCAGUUAUCGUAUGAAACACGUAUUAAAUGGAAUUAAUCCGCACAUGUGUGUAACUAAAAACCAAAACAUUUCUCAACAUAGAAUAAUCGCUGCGGUGGAUUUCCAUAGAAGAGCAAUCGAAUUUUCUGAUUUAUUAAAAGUAACUUUUGGAUCAUCAUAUUUAAUCAUAUUAGUGUGUGUGGUGUGUUCCAUGAGCAUCAAUAUUUUUUACAUAAUUCAGAUAAUAGUAACGAACAGAAACAUUGUGGAAAUUAUAAAAUCUAGUAGUGUAAUAGGCUUAUAUAUAUUAUAUAUGACAGCGUCAAAUUUUACUGGGCAAGAAUUUAUAAAUUGUGAUAUACAUUUCUAUCGUAUGAUGUAAGUUAAUUACAACCGCAAUUAUACAGGGCGUCUGAUGCAAAAGUAGCGGUAAUUAUUUAGAUUAGGACACCCACCUCCAAUAACCUGGGCUUGACAU